CCCGGGCGACGCCGGAGUUGCAGUUGGAGGCUGCGGGAAUACAAAGGGACACUGACUGCCGGGUAACUGUCUCUCAGGACAUUUGUGCUUUGAGUCUCUGCAACUCUGGACCAUCUCUGCAGGCUAAAAGAUGUGCCUGUUGCUAAGAGGAGGAGCCCUGCAGCAGGAAUCCGGUGCCAGCUGACCUGGAACAACCUGAUCUCCAGAAAGCAUCCCUGUUAUACUCAAAUGGGCCUUCCAGAUGAGCCCUGGAUCCAGCCUUUCUUUGACUAUGAACCUAAACGUAAGAAAGAGAAGUUUCUUGACUCCCUAAAAACGAGUCAUAAUGCUUUCUGAAACUGAGUCUCUUCUGCUUCUGGAAACUGAGUCUUAGUGCAAAGAAAUCCCUCUGUAUUUUCUUGAUUUCCAUCUUGAUUCUCUAUUUUAAAGAUAAAAUAGCUGUUGGGUGUCUACCUUUCAAGAGGAACAAGAAAAGAGAGGUGGGAAUAUGGAACCAAGCCAAAGAUUCUGCAGGAUCCUGCACAGUGAGCAUUGUUCUGGUUCAGGCCACUGUGCUCAACUGAACAGUAUCAGUAGCACAACAUUUGGAUGCCCUUGAAUACUGUUCCUGUUUCAAUUCAUUUGUUUGUCUGAGAAUUGGGAAUGCAUGUCUGGGCAGUGACAAGAGGCCAAAGAAAGCAGAAGAUGUGUGAAGAGGAGAAUCGAUUUUCCAUAAUGAGAUGUCAGAAACACUGCUUGCUAAGUCAGCCUGAAACCAAAGAAGAAGAAUGGCAUUCAGUGAUAAGAACUGUUCAUGAGCCUGAAUUCCAUGGCUGCUCCUGCACAAACCACCGGACACAGAUCCGGGGAAAGGCAACAAAGUUGCCUCUACUUUGUGAGUGGCUAGAAGUUACUGGACAUCUGGGAGCCCUGGUGCCUUGACUGUAAAAUGGAGACAACAACUCCUCUCAUGGUUGUUAUGACAAGGAAAUGAGAGAUACAUAUCAAGUGCCUAACAUAGAGCUGGCUCCUAUGAACCAGAACUUAUUAAGCAAUUGUAGAAGGCAAGAUUUAAAGCACAGACUUUGGAGCAGUCCUUGGGUUCCAAUCCUGGCUGCAUCGUUUAUCAUCUCUGAGCCUCAGUUUCCACAUCU
rnacentral:lncRNA from 1 species